rnacentral:lncRNA from 1 species
GUCGUAGCCUCCUCAGCCUUCGUGUUUCUGCUUCUGUGAGGUCAAGACAGCACAGGCAGUGCUGAGCAAGGGCCUUGGCCUCAGUCAGAAGGCCCCAGCAUGGAUUUUCUGCCCAACCCCUUUCUCACUGUAUAAUUCUGGGCAAGUGACCACUGAGACCCUGAAAGUGGGCACAAUGAGAGACCCAGCUCCCAGGGCCAUGGGGAGACCCUCAUGAGGAGCACAUGAAAAUGCUUGGCUCCCUGCCUGCCAUGGCCACCUUCUUGCCCAUCAGAGCCUCAAAGUGGAUGUGCAGGUAACUCUGGAUUCCCUUUGCUCAAGUCCUCGCUAGCUCGAGGACUUUCUUCCACUCUGUUCUUGAAGGUGGCUCAUGAGAGAGGUUGCAGGGCAGUCCACCAGCCUGUCCAGUGUCCAGCAGGGGCUCAGGAGACACACAGCAACUGCACCCCACCUUCCUGUCUGCUGGCUGGAGACGCCCUUCCCCUCCUCAUGAAGACAAUGGCUGGACAUCCUGUGGAGCUGGACCCUAAACCGGUGAGGGUAGUCUGAUAAACACUGAAGCAGAGAUGAGACGGAGGUGAGGAAGGAUGCCAGGCAGGAGUCUGGGGGCAAAGUGUUGGGGCAAAGGCAACGGCCAGUCAAGAGCUCUGAGUGGGGAGUGUGCUCACCAGGAUUCCUAACAGCGCAUCACUGACAAGGUCUUUGC